CCUAGCCUUUGAUGGUGGCAAAUCCUUAUUGUUCAUUUCACUCUCUUAUUUUUCUAUGAAUAAAGUGAUCUCUAUUUAUAGAAAAAUAUAUGCCAAAAAACUAGUAACAAAUCUGUUUUAAAAAUAAAACAAAUCCAAGUCAGAGUACCUUCCAAGAAAAGAUUUUUCCCAAAAAAACAGCAAAACAACACAUGCUGUCAAAACGCGCGGCGCCUGGGCGUGAGCUCCCACGCCUGGGCGUGAGAAGGCAGAUUUGAUCCCAAUUCUGCACGCCUGUGCGCCAGCUCCCACGCCUGGGCGUGAGCAGGCAGAAUCUCCCUAAAAACAUGAUUUUCUGACUUCUUGUUACCGAGAUUUCAAGGCAU
rnacentral:lncRNA from 1 species